GAUGAACGCCGGCGGUGUGCCUAAUACAUGCAAGUCGAGCGCACUGGCCCAACUGAUAUGACGUGCUUGCACUGAAUUGACGUUGGAUUCCCAGUGAGCGGCGGACGGGUGAGUAACACGUGGGCAACCUGCCCUGAAGCGGGGGAUAACAUCUGGAAACAGGUGCUAAUACCGCAUAACAACGAAAACCACAUGGUUUUCGUUUCAAAGAUGGUUUCGGCUAUCACUUCAGGAUGGGCCCGCGGUGCAUUAGCUAGUUGGUAAGGUAACGGCUUACCAAGGCGAUGAUGCAUAGCCGAGUUGAGAGACUGAUCGGCCACAAUGGAACUGAGACACGGUCCAUACUCCUACGGGAGGCAGCAGUAGGGAAUCUUCCACAAUGGGCGCAAGCCUGAUGGAGCAACACCGCGUGAGUGAAGAAGGGUUUCGGCUCG
rnacentral:rRNA from 2 species